AGGGCUGGGUUGUUCUUUGUUGUAGCUGUUGUUGCUGUUCAUGUCUUCAUUAUAUAUUAAUCCAUUUACUCAUUCAACAGACAAGUUCUGAGGACCAACUACGGUCCAGUGCCUGGCCCUGGUGAAGCACUGAGAAUGCACAAAGAGUUUCAGACACUGCCCUCAGAUUGCCUGCUGUGUUGUAAGGGAGACACACAAGUAAACCAACAAUUGAAAUGUAAAAAUAUACAGGGUUAAGGCUGUGGGAACCUUGAGGAGCCUUGACGUCACUCUGGCCUUGAAUUCAAGUCAAGCCAGUUUCUCAGCAAAGACAUCUUCUGAACUGAGUCUUGAAGCAUUAACCAGGGUUUUCUCAGGAGAGAAAAGGAUGUUCCAGGCUUGAUGAACAACAGCCCUGCAUGCUGUGGGGAGGUUGGGUGGGUGGUGGCGGUCAGAUUUGCUCCAGGUCGUGUCAAAGUUUUAGCAGGAUAGGAGGCAGAUGGAAUUAGCAAGAGGGGCUGGACCUACCAGCCACUGCCUUCCGCUCUGCUUCCUCUGAGGAACAUGACUCCCUCACCUCACAGGGCAGGGCAACUGCCCCCUGCUGCCUGGAUAUGCCUGUGGUAGCAAAGAGAAGAGGAGGAAAGGUGGGAGAGAUGACUACAGCACAGAAGCACAGGCUGAAGCACUGAACCAAAAGCGAGAGGGUAAAAUUGGGAUUAAAAUUGAGAAGUGGCAGAUUUUGGGGGAAAAAAUGUCUGUGAAGUUCAAGAGCAAAAUCCUCCUUUUCCUCUGAGUCUCGGGAAGGUUUUCCCUAAGUAUCUACUUAGACGAGAAAAUCGAUGCUGCAGUUCUAGUGUUAGGGACCUCAGCCCCCUUGUGUGUUUUCUUCCCGAUGGUUUACUAUUUCCAGUUUGCAAAACACUGUCACGUAUAGCGUCUCUUUCAAAUCUCACAACAAGCCACGAUUUUAUGCCAUGACGACAACGAGCCUGCUUCGUUUCACAGGUGAAGAAAGACUUGGAAAGCCAACUGCUCUGACUGGAGGCGGACAGAGAUCACCCUGAUUUAGAGCUUCCUAUAGAAAUAUCCCUCAGCUGGUACCAAACGGAGCGUGGAGGCCGGAGGCCUCUACAGGCAACGUCCUUGGAAUCAGAACAAGGAAGGCUGGAGGAAAGCAGAUAAGGAAACUGAGGCCCAGAGAGGCUGUGACUUCUCCAGUGUCAUAGAGCAGGUGUGCUGCAGCAACAGGAUU
rnacentral:lncRNA from 1 species